CAGAGGGUGCGAGCGUUAAUCGGAUUUACUGGGCGUAAAGCGUGCGUAGGCGGCUUUUUAAGUCGGAUGUGAAAUCCCUGAGCUUAACUUAGGAAUUGCAUUCGAUACUGGGAAGCUAGAGUAUGGGAGAGGAUGGUAGAAUUCCAGGUGUAGCGGUGAAAUGCGUAGAGAUCUGGAGGAAUACCGAUGGCGAAGGCAGCCAUUCUGGCCUAAAUUACUGACGCUGAGGUACGAAAAGCAUGGGGAGGACAAACAAGGAUU
rnacentral:rRNA from 1 species